rnacentral:rRNA from 1 species
GCUUGUCUCAAAGAUUAAGCCAUGCAUGUCUAAGUAUAAAUAGUAUACAGUGAAACUGCGAAUGGCUCAUUAAAACAGUUAUAGUUUAUUUGAUAAUUGAAAAUUACAUGGAUAACCGUGGUAAUUCUAGAGCUAAUACAUGCUAUCAAGCCCGACUUCUUGAAGGGUUGUAUUUAUUAGAUCUAACCAUCAUUUGGUGAAUCAUAGUAACUGAUCGGACCGUGCGUUAGCGCGGUAAAUCGUUCAAGUUUCUGCCCUAUCAGCUUUCGAUGGUAGUGUAUUGGACUACCAUGGCAGUCACGGGUAACGGAGAAUUAGGGUUCGGUUCCGGAGAGGGAGCCUGAGAAACGGCUACCACAUCUAAGGAAGGCAGCAGG